rnacentral:tRNA from 1 species
GGAGGGGUACCCAAGUGGCUUAAGGGGAUGGUUUGCUAAAUCAUUAGUCUGGGGAGACCUGGAGCGGGAGUUCGAAUCUCCCCUCCUCCGCCA